CACCCGAUGACUGAAAGUAAGUAUAGGUCUUUUAAACCUAUUAUAGUAAUAGCGCCUACUUCUGGUGA
rnacentral:tRNA from 2 species